rnacentral:lncRNA from 1 species
GGGGGCCAGACCCUUUGGCUGCAGCCUCCCCAGCCUAAGCUGCAGACACUGGGAAACCUUAGUCCUCCUACUUCUGGAAAAGGCUGAAAUCUGACCAGUGACAAGAGCUGCUUCCAAAGGGAAGUGUGGGCAAAUGCAUCUUCAGGCUCUAAAAAUCUAAACCUCCAGUAUGAUGGACAUUAGCUCCUGCAGCAAAAGAGUUACUAUUCAUUGAGCACUUACUAUGUGCUGGGCACAAUGUUUGGCACAAGAACAGUACGAUGCAAAAAGCUCUAACUUCCUGGAUCCCAGCCCAGCUCCACCAUUACUCAGCUGUGUGUUGUGCAUGCAAAUUAUUUAUCAGGACAGAGCCAGCCACUGAAGGCUGUCCCUAGACAUCUUGGAAAGCGAUAAAAGGCUGGAUAAUGGGGAGGGGGAAGGAAGCCAGUACAGCAGCAGGAGUGAGAAGAUGAGAGAAAAGAAGGAAGGGAGGAUACUGCCUUGCACUCCUAGUAUUGGAGGCCUCUGAGCCUCCUGUUGGGAAGAACAGAGGAAAUUAGAAGCUGGUAGUUCUGGUCUCCCCUUCUGCACAACCCGCCAUGGCCCCCACUCCCAGAUCCAGUAGCUCACAGAGGAGCAGCAUGGUAGAGAAAAUCAGAUGAUGACAUCAAGAAACCAGGGAUGUUUUGGAGGCCCACUGAGAGAACUGAUGUAAAAUGCUCUAAAGAUGAAGAGAAUUACAACAAAUCACUCAUGGAUGGAGGCAGAACAAGUUCAGCUCAGCUUCAUGGGACUGGCCAGUUCUUACUGUGGUCCUAGGAGGUAUUGGGGACCCUUUUUGGCAUGAGAGUUGCAGUGGCACUGAGAUGACAGGAAUAAGUGAGCAAAGCCUGUUUGAGGUCUAGGAAGAAGAGGUGUGGUAACGGUACCUUAAGAACUGGAGAAACUUCUGGACCUUCACUGCCAAUGCACAACCAUCACCGCCACCAAGCUUCAGCAAUCUCUCCCUUGGACAGCUACCUGCUGUGAAAAUACUUGCUUAAUGUAGUUCCUCUUGAAAAUGUUGUUCCUGCAUUAUGACUUUCAUUACACAUUUCCCAAUGAGCUUUGUUUGGUUAUUUUACUUGUGUUUCUAUUGACAGGGCAUAGGAUGAAACACCUUCUAAUUACCUCUGAAUAUCUUUACUGGUUAUCUAUGGCUGUGUACAAACCAUCCAAAACUCAGUGGCUUAACACACCCAUUUACAGAGGUCAUGAUUCUGUAGGUUUGUAUUUGGGCUAUCUUCAGGCAGGCAGUUCCACUGCUGAUCUUGGCUGGGCUCAUUCACUUUGUGUAUAGUUUUGAGUCAGUUGGGAAGCUCUGCUUUGGAGAUAGGCUGGCUAUCAACUCUGUGGUUAUGGGUAUCAACUGAGCCAUGUGUUUUUUAUCAUCUAGGAGGGUAGUCUGGGCUUGAGCACAUGAUGGUAGUCUCAGUAUUCCAAGAAGAGCAAGAGAUGUAGCUGCAAUGCCUCUUGAACUAGGCUUAUAACUCACCCAGUGUCAUUUAUAUUAUUGGCCAAAGCAAGUCACAAAGCCAGCCUGAAAUGCACUCCACCUCAUGAUGGGAGAAUUUGCAAAGUGCUGUGGCAAUUUUCCCAAUAUGCUUCAAGGUGUAUAAACUUUCUUCCAUUAAUCCUGGCAUAUGCAAGGAGGAAAGAAUGGAAAACAUUCCAAAGAAAGUUUUUGUUAUUGUUGUUAUUUUCUAUAACCAUAACAAAUACUGGAAGCAUGAUGAUUCCCUAUUGUUUACACAUUAUCAUUAUUAUUUAUUGAGCACCUCAUAUGUGCCAGAGACCAGUCA